AAGCUCCAACGCCCAAGGCAUAAAUUGCUGCAUCUCUUUCGGUAUAAACGUACGUUGACUCAGGGAAUUUAUGAGCAAGAACGCGAUCAUGAUCGAACUGUGAACGCUCUGCCAUUAGAAACGUUAUCUUUUCAAGUCCUAAAACAAGAAACUAUGAAAGUUGAGACUGUAUCAUCAUAUCUGAGCUAAGGGAGACCUGUAAAUUAUCAAUUGUUGGAAAAUUGGGCACGCAACUUGGAACGACAAUCGAGGCAGAGUAGUUAGCUAGUGGUAAACGGGUCGGUCUGAUUCGGAGUUUGGAUUUGAA
rnacentral:misc_RNA from 1 species